rfam:Ovis aries breed Texel chromosome 8, whole genome shotgun sequence.
UGGUUCAGAGGUUAAAGCGUCUGCCUGCAAUGCAGGAGACCUGGGUUCAAUCCCCUG